GUUCGCUUGCCUUGCAGGGAUGUAGUUUGUUGUGGCUAGUGUUAACCCAACGCCCCAGAAUAAGGUUAUGCACAGAUUAUUCCAACCUAAAUGCAUUGAACCAAAGGAGUGAGAGAGGGACACCUAAGUGGAUCAAGAGGCGCACCCCAAAAAGAUGCCCGAGCAGCUCCCUGUUUGAAAGACAACCCUGUUUUUACAGACUUGAGUCGCUAAUGGCCCCACACAUCUCUGUAAAAAAAAAAUUAAGGCAAUUUAACGUUUCUUUGAUUUGAGUGUGAUCAUCAAUCGGGGAUACGCGCUCAAGAACGAACCGGACCAGGGGGGAAGUCGCCCCUUAAAGUGUAUGUGAAGCAGGACGGCGGAACCUGCUCCUCCGUAGGAAAGGCAGUUGGAUGGUUGGGAGAUUUUAGAAUAACAUGUUUGUUUUCUUUCCUAAACAGUUCAGCGCGCUGCGUGCGCCCCAGAGAGCUUUGGGUGGCUGCUCAGAACGAAUGCAGGUAAUUUCCCCCUGUUGCAUCAAUCCAGGAAUCAUUUAUUCUUGGAUCAGGAUUCUAGUUUCGCCCAAGCAGUUCUUUCAAGUUCAGAAAACUAGGGAGUCGGGGCGUUAGCAAGAUGUCCGAUUUUGUCGUGGAUUGUUACCAUCAGGUGAGAUCGAAAUAAUUGUUUGAAUCAGCCAAAUACACCCACAUAAAAUUGUUUGGAACCCAGCUGAGGUUGGAGUGUAAAUAAGAAGCGUUAGAACCCCAAACUCCAUUUGAAGUAAUUUUUUAAAAUGGCUAGUCGUUGAUUGUGUAUUUUCUGGCCCGCUCCUGUUACUCUCGGCUACCUGCGACAGUCUCUCACGUAGCGAUCCCAAGGGCUGCCCUGGGUCGCUUCCUUGAAAUCUUCCGAAAUUUUCCCUGCCCUAGUGAGGCAGGCUCUGGGCUCCGGACUUGCUGUGAGCACCGAAAGCACCGCCAGGCCCAGCGAGGCAUUAGGGCGUUCUACAAGUCUAGGGAACCCUCAAUUACUGAGGAAAACACCACCCUGGUUUAAGUAACUGUUUGUUUGUAGCAGACAAUAAACAGACUGAAGCGCAGUGGACCAGUCCUGGCCCUCGGAGCCCGGCUACGCUAUCUCAUCCCGAACCUUUUAACAACUCGUUUUUAUAAACCCUCUCUUUGUUUUGGGCUGGGUUUUGACGUAUUUCUCUCCGUUUGAAGCAGCCGAGGCUUCCCCCCAUCCUGCUACAGGGCGGAUGAGAAGUGCAGUCCGAAUCAACAGGCUUUUUAUGCAGCGAGCUAAUUAAUUUAUCACAGUUUGAAGGUCCCACUUUUAACUGCCUGUGCGCUGCGGAAAGCGUCUCCGGGGAGGGCGAGACACAGAGAGAGGAGGCAAAGAACAACAGGGCGUCGGAAAACUUAAAAAUCAGGACGGAGAUGGUGUGGGGCCAGACCCCUACCUACCCCUAAAAAGAUGCAGGGAAAUAAUUGUUUACAUGAGUAGAUUUCAAAAGUGGAAUCAAAGCAAAGCGAAGGCCUCUCUUCCCUAUCCGCCUCAGACAUGAAUGCAAAGCCAGGGAAGAAAGGUGCCUUCGGGGGACCCUGUGAAGAUAUUUCUGAGACUGGCCCCAGGCCUUGUCCUAUUCCUUUAGCUCCUGAAUACAUUCCAUACUUGUUAUUCCUGCUCCUAAUUCUUUCCCAGGCCCCAGUGGAAGAGUUGGAGAGGGUGGUUGGUUGGGACCGGAGCCCUGUGCGUGAUCUGG